GACGAACGCUGGCGGCGUGCUUAACACAUGCAAGUCGAGCGGUAAGGCCCUUUCGGGGGUACACGAGCGGCGAACGGGUGAGUAACACGUGGGUGACCUGCCUUUAGCUCUGGGAUAAGCCUGGGAAACUGGGUCUAAUACCGGAUACGACUCCGCGGUGCAUGCUGUGGGGUGGAAAGCCUUGUGCGGCUGGAGAUGGGCCCGCGGCCUAUCAGCUUGUUGGUGGGGUGAUGGCCUACCAAGGCGACGACGGGUAGCCGGCCUGAGAGGGCGACCGGCCACACUGGGACUGAGACACGGCCCAGACUCCUACGGGAGGCAGCAGUGGGGAAUCUUGCGCAAUGGGCGAAAGCCUGACGCAGCGACGCCGCGUGAGGGAUGACGGCCUCGG
rnacentral:rRNA from 1 species